GGCCAGACUCCUACGGGAGGCAGCAGUGGGGGAUAUUGCACAAUGGGGGAAACCCUGAUGCAGCGACGCCGCGUGAGUGAAGAAGUAUUUCGGUAUGUAAAGCUCUAUCAGCAGGGAAGAAAAAAGACGGUACCUGACUAAGAAGCCCCGGCUAACUACGUGCCAGCAGCCGCGGUAAUACGUAGGGGGCGAGCGUUAUCCGGAUUCACUGGGUGUAAAGGGAGCGUAGACGGCCAAGCAAGCCAGGGGUGAAAGCCCGGGGCCCAACCCCGGGACUGCCCUUGGAACUGCAUGGCUGGAGUGCGGGAGGGGCAGGCGGAAUUCCUGGUGUAGCGGUGAAAUGCGUAGAUAUUAGGAGGAACACCAGUGGCGAAGGCGGCCUGCUGGGCUUUUACUGACGCUGAGGCUCGAAAGUGUGGGGAGCAAACAGGAUUAGAUACCCCGGUAG
rnacentral:rRNA from 1 species